GUUUUAAUGUUUCUAUUUGCGUGGAGCCAAACUCAAACUUAGCAGUGAAUGACUGUCAGUCAUAUGCAGCUGUCAUGUGACCUGGCAUCAGCACUUCAGCUCAACAUGGCGGCGGGUACGUCUGUAUUCCACAGGAUGAGAACUGGCUCGAAAAUAGGAGCCCAAUACGACCAAGAAGGCAACGUCAUUCAGGUGGAAACCCGAGAGGAUGAAGAGCAGCGUGUCAAGCUGGCAGAGAUCCUGGAGCUUCUGCUGGCAGCUGGAUACUUCAGAGCCCGGAUCAAAGGACUGUCACCUUUUGAUAAGGUGGUCGGUGGUAUGACCUGGUGCAUCACAACAUGUAACUUUGACGUUGAUGUAGAUCUUCUUUUUCAAGAAAACUCAACCAUUGGCCAGAAAAUUGCCCUGACAGAGAAAAUAGUUUCUGUUCUACCAAAGAUGAAGUGUCCUCAUCGUCUGGAGCCCCAUCAAAUCCAAGGGCUGGAUUUUAUUCACAUUUUUCCAGUGAUACAGUGGCUGGUGAAGCGAGCCAUAGAGACAAGGGCAGAAAUGGGAGAUUAUGUGAGAGCAUACUCCAUUUCUCAGUUCCAGAAGACCCACAACCUCCCCGAGGAUGAAGAUUUUCUCCUCAGGAAAGACAAGGCUGUGAGGGCAGUUUUGGACGUGUUGGAUAUGUACAAACCACAGAGGAAGUACAGGAGACAGUGGGACACAGAGGAGCUGCUCGAUGAGGAAUCCAGGGUUCACUCCACUUUGCUGGAAUAUGGCAGAAUGUCAGGUUUCCUCCUACGAUAUGGAUUCAGCAAGCAAUCAAAACAUGACAAGGUAGAUCAAGGGAAUGCUCUGCUUGUCAGUGGCUCUCAAGCAACACCUCCUGGGACUGCAGAGAUAUCAGAGGACGAGAACCUGCAGGCAGCAGAGGAGAUAAGAAUCAAAACCCUGAUGACUAGUAUGGCUGCCAUGGCAAACGAAGAGGGUAAGCUGACAGCGAGUGCAGUGGGUCAGAUAGUGGGAUUGCAGUAUGAGGAGAUCAAGCAGAUUGCCUCAGAGUAUGCUGAGAAGCAGUUGGAACUGACCUCAGAGGAGCGUUCAGAGCGCUACGGCCCGCUACAGCAGCAUCGCAGGGCAGUUGCCACACUCAACAAGCAGAUCCAGCAGAAAACUAAACAGCUGGAGGAGCUACAGGCUAAGCAUGCAGAAGUGAAGACAGGCUGUGACAAGGCCAAAAGAGGACUGGUGGAGGCUACAGAACAAUCAGAAAAACUGGAGAGAGAGCUGAAAUCUUUAGAAGAGAUAGAGGAGCAGGCUGACAGUAGCCUGCUGGAAAAGCUCAGGGCUCUGGUGUCAAUGAAUGACAACCUGAAGCAGCAGGAGCAGGAGUUCCGCACACACUGCAGAGAAGAGAUGACCCGUCUGCAGCUGAACAUUCAAGAGUUGAAGUCUGCAUCAGGACAUGAUACAGAGGAGGAGAAGGAGAGGAACCAGCUGAUAGACAAACAGUACCACACAGACAGAGAGAAACUUCAAAAGAUCCGUCUGCUCAUGGCUCGGAGAAACCGUGAGAUUGCCAUAAUGCAGAGGAAACUUGAUGAAGUGCCAAGCCGAGCUGAACUGACACAAUACCAGAAGAGAUUUAUCGAACUCUACAGUCUUGUUUCUGCAACACACAAAGAGACAAAGCAGUUCUUCACACUGUAUAACACAUUGGAUGACAAGAAGGUCUACCUGGAGAAGGAGGUGAAUUUGCUGAAUUCCAUUCAUGACAACUUCCAACAAGCUAUGUCAUCGUCAGCAGCCAAGGAACAGUUCCUUAGACAAAUGGAACAAAUAGUGGAAGGAAUCAAACAGAGUCGCAUUAAGGAUUUAAAAGAUUGUUUUCCAGAUGGAGAAGAAGAAGCAGGAGAACAAAAUGAGGAGAGAUCAGCUGAACGAUGAGUACCUGGAGCUGCUUGACAAGCAGAGGCUGUACUUCAAAACUGUCAAGGAGUUUAAAGAGGAGUGUCGGAAGAAUGAGAUGCUGCUGUCCAAGCUGAGAGCUAAAGGAGCCUCUUAGCCCGGAUGGCAUGUGUUUUUAUUUGAAGUGAAAUAUGUUAACUGAUCGCAGAUGAACUACAGCAGUAUGGAGGUUUUUUGUAACAUGACACAUUUUCUGUGAGGCUGUUAGUUAGAAACAGACCAAGGACCUGGAUGUUAAGUUGUGGACAUUAUAAUUCCACUGCACUCUUAAUAUAUGCCAAUAUAUGCUGACAUCUAGUCAAGAAGUGUUGCAAUUUAGAUUCGAACAAUAUUUAGAGGCCUUUAACAAACUAUAAAUUAUGACUGUGUUUAAUGAUACUUGGCAAAUUUUAUUACUGUGGAGCUGUACAAACAAAACGCUUUGUAGCAAGUGUCAGACCGACUCUUAAUUCAAGUAAUCUUAAGUUGUAUUGGAAGUUGCACUAGUUGAGAAAUAUGUUCAUACAUCUUUAUGUUGAUUAUAAAGUGGCACUGCAAACAGAGAAGAGAUGCCGUCAAAAGAGUUGAUGUUUGAAGUUUCCUGAUGCAGCUUCAAAUGACUUUAAAUACCAUUGAUACUGUUGACGCAUACAAGUGAAGUUUGUCUUAUAGGUAUCUCUGUUAUCAUCCAGUGACAAUGUACGAUCAGUGUUUAGUGAAUAAAGGUAUGUUUCUGUCAAA